AGUGAUGAUAGAGACGAGUCUCAUAGAAUUGGAGUCCUGACACACCUCCAGUUUUGGGACAUGAUCAUAUCAAUCCGUUGGCUAGUUUUGAGUCGAGUAUAAUAUCAGUUGAUCUUAGCAGUAGUACCUUAAUGAGUGCCUCAGUAGUUGAAGUUGAGAACAAUGAAUGUACACUACACAACUUUUUGGCUAUUUUUGUUUUUGCAACUUCAUGCCAUCAAUUUGCAGAUUAAAAAAUAUUUGCUGUAUCAUGUCAUUCUAAGAAAGAAACAGGAAGAUGCUUCAAACUUAUUCGUCAAGUAGCAAACCCAGCAAUGAAUACUGUAUCAACUACUAAAGCAUGAUUAGUGAGUAUAUUAAGGAAGUAUAGGUUUGAAAGAUCACCUGAUACUCAGGU